UCCUUGGUGGCUCAGAUGGUAAAGAGUCUGCUUGCAAGGCAGGAGAUCCGGGUUCAAUCCCUGGGUGUGGAA
rnacentral:tRNA from 1 species